rnacentral:rRNA from 1 species
GACGAACGCUGGCGGCGUGCUUAACACAUGCAAGUCGAACGGAAAGGCCUGCUUUCCCUUGUGGAUUGCGGGUACUCGAGUGGCGAACGGGUGAGUAACACGUGAGUGAUCUGCCCCCAACUUGGGUAUAAGCCUGGGAAACUGGGUCUAAUUCCCGAUAGGACUGCAGGGUGGUGCCUGUGGUGGAACACGAUUUUCUAGUGGUUGGGGAUGAGCUCGCGGCCUAUCAGCUUGUUGGUGGGGUAAUGGCCUACCAAGGCGGCGACGGGUAGCCGGCCUGGGAGGGUGGACGGCCACAUUGGGACUGAGAUACGGCCCAGACUCCUACGGGAGGCAGCAGUGGGGAAUAAUGCACAAUGGGCGGAAGCCUGAUGCAGCGACGCCGCGUGGGGGAUGACGGCCUUCGGGUUGUAAACUCCUUUCGACCGCGAGGAAGCCACCUGGUUGGAAGGGUGGUGACGGUAGUGGUAGAAGAAGCACCGGCUAACUACGUG